rnacentral:rRNA from 1 species
UACGUAGGGGCCUAGCGUUGUCCGGAUUUAUUGGGCGUAAAGAGCUCGUAGGCGGCUUGGUUAGUCAGGUGUGAAAUCUCCACGCUCAACGUGGAGGGGCCACCUGAUACUGCCAUGGCUUGAGUCCGGUAGGGGAGUGUGGAAUUCCCGGUGUAGCGGUGAAAUGCGCAGAUAUCGGGAGGAACACCCGUAGCGAAGGCGGCACUCUGGGCCGGUACUGACGCUGAGGAGCGAAAGCGUGGGGAGCGAACAGG